CCGAGUUUACAACUCCCAAACCCCUGUGAACAUACCUAUACGUUGCCUCGGCGGAUCAGCCCGCGCCCCGUAAAAAGGGACGGCCCGCCCGAGGACCCCUAAACUCUGUUUUUAGUGGAACUUCUGAGUAAAACAAACAAUUAAAUCA
rnacentral:misc_RNA from 1 species